UUGGAGGGCAAGUCUGGUGCCAGCAGCCGCGGUAAUUCCAGCUCCAAUAGCGUAUAUUAAAGUUGUUGCAGUUAAAAAGCUCGUAGUUGAACUUCGGGGUUUACCCAUCGGUCAGGCUUAAUUGUCUGCACUGGUGAGAUAAAUCUCUACCUUCUGAGGAACUUUCAUGCCAUUUAUUUGGUGUGAUUGGAAAUCAGGACUAUUACCUUGAAAAAAUUAGAGUGUUUAAAGCAGGCUAACGUCUGAAUAUAUUAGCAUGGAAUAAUGAAAUAGGACGGCUUGGUUCUAUUUCGUUGGUUUCUAGGAUCACCGUAAUGAUUAAUAGGGAUAGUUGGGGGCAUUAGUAUUCAAUUGUCAGAGGUGAAAUUCUUGGAUUUAUUGAAGACUAACUACUGCGAAAGCAUUUGCCAAGGAUGUUUUCAUUAAUCAAGAACGAAAGUUAGGGGAUCGAAGACGAUCAGAUACCGUCGUAGUCUUAACCAUAAACUAUGCCGACUAGGGAUCGGACGAAGUUAAUUUUAUAAUGACGCGUUCGGCACCUUACGGGAAACCAAAGUGUUUGGGUUC
rnacentral:rRNA from 1 species